rnacentral:rRNA from 1 species
GUGGGGAAUAUUGGACAAUGGGGGGAACCCUGAUCCAGCCAUGCCGCGUGUGUGAAGAAGGCCUUUUGGUUGUAAAGCACUUUAAGCGAGGAGGAGGCUACCGAGAUUAAUACUCUUGGAUAGUGGACGUUACUCGCAGAAUAAGCACCGGCUAACUCUGUGCCAGCAGCCGCGGUAAUACAGAGGGUGCAAGCGUUAAUCGGAUUUACUGGGCGUAAAGCGCGCGUAGGUGGCCAAUUAAGUCAAAUGUGAAAUCCCCGAGCUUAACAUGGGAAUUGCAUUCGAGACUGGUUGUCUAGAGUAUGGGAGAGGAUGGUAGAAUUCCAGGUGUAGCGGUGAAAUGCGUAGAGAUCUUGAGGAAUACCGAUGGCGAAGGCAGCCAUCUGGCCUAAUACUGACACUGAGGUGCGAAAGCAUGGGGAGCAAACAGGAUUAGAUACCCGAGUAGUCC